rnacentral:lncRNA from 10 species
GGCGGGGCCGCCCCUCGCCCCGCCCCCCUUAACCCUCGCCGGGCCGCGGCCUACGGGACGGACAGCGCCCACCCGGAGGAAAGCCUGACAGAUGAGACUUCGCAAGGUGAGAACUCCCUUCGCUCCACACGCAGCGGAGGCAGCUGCAGGGCGCCGACCUUCCCUGCCUCAUUGCGCCCCCUCCUCCUCCAGAUGCGCUCUGGGGGGCCCUCCCGAUGGCUGUGGGGAGGUCAGGGCUGGACAAAGGGAAUCCAAAAAGCCCACCCGGUGCACUGAGUAGGUGGCACCGACGGGGGAGGGGAAGGCGGGACACACCCCAAGACCCCUGCCCCUCAUUCCCGUCCCUGCAUAGAUCACCCAGCAACCAGGACACCCCUCCAGGGCCAGGACUACAGCCAGGGACUGUGUAUGCAGACGUGGCCGGGCCUGGCCGGCCUGCCCUAACUGGAAAGGAGGCCAAGCCUCGCACCUAAGGCUGGGCUGGCACCUCCGCUGAGCCAGCUCUGGGUCUGCAGGGGUUGUGGGGGGCUCUCUGGCAACUGGACCAUGAGUUCCUGCAACCCCUUCCUGUGCUCUCCUUGCCUGGGGGCAGAGUGAGGAGAGACUGGCUAUUCUGCUCACGGUGUCCUUGGUCCCCGACCUCUGGAUGGCCAUGUCUCCGCCCCCCCACGGAGUCACCACCCAGCCUCACGAAUUCCUGGUCAUCUUGAAAAACCCAGUGCAGUGGUCAGGACCCCACAGGAUCUCAGGGGCUCUGCCAGAGCCCCGGCCCAGCGGUCAGGCCCCCACCAACUGUGGUCACGGUGCACCUCCGUCCCCGGCAUGGAGGGCCCUGACCCCCUACACCAGCCUGUUGGGCCCCUGGCAGGGUCUGCUGAGGCCUCUGCACCUGGCGCAGAGAGGUUGGGGGCAGAGACCUUGGGAGAGGCGCUCCCUGCCCCCUGCCCCCAGCUCCCACCUCUGCUUAGGAAGGGCAAACCCUGGGCUCUGACUCUUGCCCCAGCGUUGUGAGGCGACUCAGGGGCUGCCCCAGGGAAGCAGAGAGUGAUGGUGACUCAGGGGACCCCCAUGUCCUUGCCCAGAACUCCCCAGGGGUUCAGCCGACCUACUGCCACCAGUUCCCAGUGGAAGCCCCUCAGCCCCCAGGUGUGAGGGCAUGGGCAGUGGGGCAGGGCAGGAGCCUGGAUGAUGGUAUAUGGGGUGGGGCGGCCCCCAACUAUCUUGGCAUGUUGGCCUGAGGACAGCUGGGGCCUUCACCCUGUGCCAUGACCAUUCCAGCUUCUUGUAGCAGCACCUGCAUUUCCCUCUGGGCAGCCCCCUUUAUCCAUCCUCAGGUCAUGGGGAGCUUGGGUGGGGCUGACACUCCCCUGCCUAGGAGUUGGCAGAUGACCUGGGCGCGGCCAGCCAGACUGGACCCCUUAGCCUCGAGGCCUUUGCUGAAGCUCAUGUGAGGGGGCGACUGCCCCUGACAGGUGUUGGAUUCCAGCUGCUGUGGCCCUGAAGGUGGGUGGUGGGAAGAACGGGAGAAUGAAGCCAGCCUUGGGAGAGGUAGGACGCCAGCCCGGCCCAGCUGCUUCCAGCAUCUGGAUCCAGCCUCACCUGAAGCCAGCCACCUCCUGGACUGCAAAGUCAUUGUCAACACCGAAACACAGGGUUUCUGACCAUUGCAACCCAGGGUCCCGGCGUGUCGUGGCUGCAGACCCUGCAGACCCCUAUGAAGAUGGUCCUGCCUGCCUUGCAUCGGGCCUCUAGCUAGGGACUGUGGUUGCAGACGUAGUUCUGGGACUGAGCUCCUGGUGAGAGGCCAGUGGUGAGGGAAGAGAGACCAGCAGAGAAAAGAGUGGAGCCUCGGGCUGCUAGCAGAGUGGCAGAAACCGAGCCUGCGAGAGGAAAACAUUGUUUCCCGCGGCCUCCUGCUGAGCCAUGGGGACCCAGAUAUUGCGAAGUCCAGCUGGGGCCAACCCUAAGGAAGGAAGGAGGGAAGGGGACAGGGAGGGGUGAGGAGGAGAGGGAGGGAGUGACCUCUGCUUAGCACCUGCACUUGAGCAGCGGUGGCCUUUCACGCGCACACGCUUCCCCACCUGGAGCGCCGUCUCCAAUGCUGUUUGUACACACACCAGCAUUCUGACAGUCACUAAAUGUUUUCUUUGAAUGAGUUCACUUUUUCACCUAGAGUGCUUUCUAAAAGCAGACCAUGAUCGUGAAUAGUAAGUAUCACUUCCAUAAAUAGAAAGUGUCAGAAAAAUAACUAUCAGACGUUUUCAGCUUCUUGUCUUGCUUGGAAGCAUCAGACGGUCUCUGAAAUGCUGUCCCUCUGCUCCCCAGGUUGGCCCAUCCUCUGCCACAGCUUGAGCCCCACCCACGGGGUCCCUGCUUGAUGAGUGCUUCCCCUGUCCUCUGAGACCCUACUUCUGCCCCCGGAGGGGUGUCUGUCCAGGGGACCCCUCAGAGGUCCCACCCAGCCACUCCUGAUCUCCCCACACAGAAAUGUGCCCCUGUGAGCCCUUCACAACUUCUGGUCAUGCCUCCAAAAUUCCAGGGAGGGGACAGAG